rnacentral:rRNA from 1 species
UCAUAUGUACAUGCCUACAACAUUAAUGCAUUGGAUCCCAUUAGAACUCUGCAGUUAAGCGUGCUUGGGCUACAGUAAUAUUGGGAUGGGCGAUCUCUUGGGAAGUCCUAGUGUUUUGCAUGCC